AGGGUGCUACAAUAUCAGAACGGAUAAAAUCCCGUUCAGAUCUGGCCGAGUUAUCGUUUCCAAAGUUUUUCUGGGCCACAGCGUUCCAAUCAAAGAGGGAGAACUGGUCAACAGAAGGGUCUAUCCCCGCGCUGCUUCUGUAUAUCGCAGUGUGCACACCAAGCAUCGAGAUGGACUACACACGACCAUUCCUAAAGGAAGAAAGUGGUUUGUCUUUGACAAUGAACUCGUCUUGCCCGAGUACAUGAUUUGUUUUGAAUACCUCACUGGAGUAAGUGGCAGUAUCAGCAUUGGUUCUGUGUUUC